rnacentral:tRNA from 2 species
AAAUUGUUAGUUAAAAAAUAACAAUAAUAUGUCAUAUUAUAAUUAUUAAUAUAAAUAUAAUACAAUUUU